UUAACCACUAGGCUACCCUGCCGCCCCUCCACUCUAACCACUAGGCUACCCUGCCGCCCCUCCACUCUAACCACUAGGCUACCCUGCCGCCCCUCCACUCUAACCACUAGGCUACCCUGCCGCCCUCCACUCUAACCACUAGGCUACCCUGCCGCCCCUCCACUCUAACCACUAGGCUACCCUGCCGCCUCCACACUCUAACCACUAGGCUACCCUGCAGCCCCUCCACUCUAACCACUAGGCUACCCUGCCGCCCCUCCACUCUAACCACUAGGCUACCCUGCCGCCCCUCCACUCUAACCACUAGGCUACCCUGCCGCCUCUACAAUCUAACCACUAGGCUACCCUGCCGCCCCUCCACUCUAACCACUAGGCUACCCUGCCGCCCCUCCACUCUAACCACUAGGCUACCCUUCCGCCCCUCCACUCUAACCACUAGGCUACCCUGCCGCCCCUCCCCUCUAACCACUAGGCUACCCUGCCGCCUCCACACUCUAACCACUAGGCUACCCUGCCUCCCCUCCACUCUAACCACUAGGCUACCCUGCCGCCCCUCCACUCUAACCACUAGGCUACCCUGCCGCCCCUCCACUCUAACCACUAGGCUACCCUGCCGCCUCUACACUCUAACCACUAGGCUACCCUGCCGCCCCUCCACUCUAACCACUAGACUACCCUGCCGCCUCUACACUCUAACCACUAGGCUACCCUGCCG
ensembl:lncRNA